UCCUUGGUGGCCUAGUAGUCAGGGUUCUGGACUUACACUGCCAUGGCCCGGGUUCAAUUCUUGGUCAGGGAA
rnacentral:tRNA from 1 species